rnacentral:rRNA from 1 species
CCUACGGGUGGCUGCAGUAGGGAAUAUUGGACAAUGGGCGAAAGCCUGAUCCAGCCAUGCCGCGUGAUAGAUGAAGGCCCUCUGGGUUGUAAAUAUCUUUUAUCUGGGAAGAAACCAUCUUAUUCUUAAGAUCUUGACGGUACCAGAGGAAUAAGCACCGGCUAACUCCGUGCCAGCAGCCGCGGUAAUACGGAGGGUGCAAGCGUCACCGGGAUUCACGGGGUUUAAAGCGUGCGUAGGCGGGAGGGGUGAAAGCUCCGAGCUUAACUUGGAAAGUGCCAUUGAUACUGCCAGUCUUGAGUGUCGUAGAGGUAAGCGGAAUGUUGCAUGUAGCGGUGAAAUGCUUAGAUAUGUUACAGAACACCAAUUGCGAAGGCAGCUUACUAGGCGAUGAUUGACGCUGAGGCACGAAAGCGUGGGGAGCAAACAGGAUUAGAUACCCCAGUAGUC